rnacentral:rRNA from 1 species
AGUGAACGCUGGCGGUAGGCCUAACACAUGCAAGUCGAACGGCAGCACAGUAAGAGCUUGCUCUUACGGGUGGCGAGUGGCGGACGGGUGAGGAAUACAUCGGAAUCUACUUUUUCGUGGGGGAUAACGUAGGGAAACUUACGCUAAUACCGCAUACGACCUACGGGUGAAAGCAGGGGAUCUUCGGACCUUGCGCGAUUGAAUGAGCCGAUGUCGGAUUAGCUAGUUGGCGGGGUAAAGGCCCACCAAGGCGACGAUCCGUAGCUGGUCUGAGAGGAUGAUCAGCCACACUGGAACUGAGACACGGUCCAGACUCCUACGGGAGGCAGCAGUGGGGAAUAUUGGACAAUGGGCGAAAGCCUGAUCCAGCCAGACCGCGUGGGUGAAGAAGGCCUUCGGGUUGUAAAGCCCUUUUGUUGGGAAAGAAAAGCAGCAGGUUAAUACCCCGCUGUUCUGACGGUACCAAAAGAAUAAGCACCGGCGAACUUCGU